CCUACGGGGGGCAGCAGUGGGGGAUAUUGCACAAUGGGGGGAACCCUGAUGCAGCGACGCCGCGUGGGUGAAGGAGUGCUUCGGCAUGUAAAGCCCUAUCGGCAGGGAAGAAGCAAGACGGUACCUGACUAAGAAGCCCCGGCUAACUACGUGCCAGCAGCCGCGGUAAUACGUAGGGGGCGAGCGUUAUCCGGAUUCACUGGGUGUAAAGGGAGCGUAGACGGCCAUGCAAGCCAGGGGGGAAAGCCCGGGGCCCAACCCCGGGACUGCCCUUGGAACUGUGCGGCUAGAGUGCGGGAGGGGCAGGCGGAAUUCCUGGUGUAGCGGUGAAAUGCGUAGAUAUCAGGAGGAACACCGGCGGCGAAGGCGGCCUGCUGGACUGCGACUGACGUUGAGGCUCGAAAGCGUGGGGAGCGAACAGGAUUAGAUACCCGGGUAGUC
rnacentral:rRNA from 1 species